GACGAACGCUGGCGGCGUGCUUAACACAUGCAAGUCGAACGAGGUCCACUGCGUAGCAAUACAAGGGAAGACCUAGUGGCGAACGGGUGCGUAACACGUGAGGAACUUGUCCCGGUCUCUGGGAUAACAGUUGGAAACGACUGCUAAUACCGGAUGACGUCGGAAUCUCGCAUGGGAUACUGACGAAAGGGUUACUGGAUCGGGAGAGCCUCGCGGCCUAUCAGCUUGUUGGUGAGGUAACGGCUCACCAAGGCAUCGACGGGUAGCUGGUCUGAGAGGAUGAUCAGCCACACUGGGACUGAGACACGGCCCAGACUCCUACGGGAGGCAGCAGUGGGGAAUCUUGCGCAAUGGGGGCAACCCUGACGCAGCCAUGCCGCGUGAACGAUGAAGGCCUUAGGGUUGUAAAGUUCUUUUACCCGUGACGAUGAUGACGGUAACGGGGGAAUAAGCUCCGGCUAACUUCGUGCCAGCAGCUGCGGUAAU
rnacentral:rRNA from 1 species